rnacentral:rRNA from 1 species
GGGCCCGCACAAGCGGUGGAGCAUGUGGUUUAAUUCGAUGCAACGCGAAGAACCUUACCUGGGUUUGACAUCCCCAGACAGCCCUAGAGAUAGGGUUUCCCCUUCGGGGGCUGGGAGACAGGUGCUGCAUGGCUGUCGUCAGCUCGUAUCGUGAGAUGUCGGGUUAAGUCCCUUAACGAGCGCAACCCUUAUCCCUAGUUGCCAUCAUUCAGUUGGGCACUCUAUGGAGACUGCCGGUGUUAAACCGGAGGAAGGCGGGGAUGACGUCAAGUCCUCAUGGCCUUUAUAUCCAGGGCUACACACGUGCUACAAUGGCCGGUACAAAGGGUCGCCAACCCGCAAGGGGGAGCUAAUCUCAGAAAGCCGGUCUCAGUUCGGAUUGAAGUCUGCAAUUCGACUUCAUGAAGCUGGAAUCGCUAGUAAUCGCGGAUCAGAACGCCGCGGUGAAUACGUUCCCGGGCCUU